rnacentral:rRNA from 1 species
UACGGAGGGUGCAAGCGUUGCUCGGAAUUAUUGGGCGUAAAGGGUAGGUAGGUGGUCUCAUUUGUCUGGGGUGAAAUCCUUGAGCUUAACUCAAGAAGUGCCUCAGAAACGGUGAGACUAGAGUUCUGGAGAGGGUCGUGGAAUUCCCGGUGUAGCGGUGAAAUGCGUAGAGAUCGGGAGGAACACCAGAGGCGAAGGCGGCGACCUGGACAGAUACUGACACUCAACUACGAAAGCGUGGGGAGGAAACAGG